rnacentral:rRNA from 1 species
GAUGAACGCUGGCGGCGUGCUUAACACAUGCAAGUCGAACGGUGAAGGCGGAGCUUUCUCUGCUUGAUCAGUGGCGAAGGGGUGAGUAACACGUGAGCAAUCUGCCCCUGACUGUGGGAUAAGCGCUGGAAACGGCGUCUAAUACUGGAGACGAGCUGCGAAGGCAUCUGCAUCAGCUGUAAAGCACGGCGUUCUGGUAUGGGCUCGCGGCAUAUGAGCUGCUUGGGCAGGUAGCGGCUGCCCAGGGCUACGACGGGUCGCCGGCCUGGGAGGGUGACCGGCCACCCUGGGACUGAGAGACGGCCCAGACUCCUACGGGACGCAGCAGUGGGGAAUAUUGCACAAUGGGCGCAAGCCUGAUGCAGCGACGCCGCGUGCGGGACGACGGCCUUCGGGUUGUAAACCUCUUUUAGCAGGGAAGAAGCGAAAGUGACGGUACCUGCAGAAAAAGCGCCGGCUAACUACGUG